CGGGAAGACGUUAAAGUUUUUGCCCAAAAAAUGGCCAUCGAUUUAAGGUGAUUUUCCAAUAAGAAAAUGCUUCCUAUUUUGAAUUUUUUCGAAUAUUUCCUAAACUAAGCGUCGGAGCACAUGGCCGUGGAGGAACUUUUGGUAGCUUUUGGCAAGGGCUAUCGGAUGAAAUAAUAAGAAAGGCCAUCAGAGCGAUAUUGGAUUAAUGCGGGCUCAUAAACGCACCUGAGAAGUGAAAAUUGGUACCUUGCACGCAGGAUGCAAGAAAUGCUUGAGUGUUAACCAUCAUCGGUACCAAGUACCUAGGUUAUAUCGAGUGCGUAGAUGGAAGUCGGUACCAAAGGGAAACCUUCCUAGGCUAGGUGCACGCAAGUGAGUAUGGAUCGAUCAGUAGAAAGUGGGAAGCCCAAGGAAACCUUCCUAGGCUAGGUGCACGCAAGUGAGUAUGGAUCGAUCAGUAGAAAGAUGGGAAGCCCAAGGAAACCUUCCUAGGCUAGGUGCACGCAAGUGAGUAUGGAUCGAUCAGUAGAAAGAUGGGAAGCCCAAGGAAACCUUCCUAGGCUAGGUGCAAGCAAGUGAGUAUGGAUCGAUCAGUAGAAAGAUGGGAAGCCCAAGGAAACCUUCCUAGGCUAGGUGCACGCAAGUGAGUAUGGAUCGAUCAGUAGAAAGAUGGGAAGCCAUAGGAAACCUUCCUAGGCUAGGUGCACGCAAGUGAGUAUGGAUCGAUCAGUAGAAAGAUGGGAAGCCAUAGGAAACCUUCCUAGGCUAGGUGCACGCAAGUGAGUAUGGAUCGAUCAGUAGAAAGAUGGGAAGCCAUAGGAAACCUUCCUAGGCUAGGUGCACGCAAGUGAGUAUGGAUCGAUCAGUAGAAAGAUGGGAAGCCCAAGGAAACCUUCCUAGGCUAGGUGCACGCAAGUGAGUAUGGAUCGAUCAGUAGAAAGAUGGGAAGCCAUAGGAAACCUUCCUAGGCUAGGUGCACGCAAGUGAGUAUGGAUCGAUCAGUAGAAAGAUGGGAAGCCAUAGGAAACCUUCCUAGGCUAGGUGCACGCAAGUGAGUAUGGAUCGAUCAGUAGAAAGAUGGGAAGCCCAAGGAAACCUUCCUAGGCUAGGUGCACGCAAGUGAGUAUGGAUCGAUCAGUAGAAAGAUGGGAAGCCCAAGGAAACCUUCCUAGGCUAGGUGCACGCAAGUGAGUAUGGAUCGAUCAGUAGAAAGAUGGGAAGCCAUAGGAAACCUUCCUAGGCUAGGUGCACGCAAGUGAGUAUGGAUCGAUCAGUAGAAAGAUGGGAAGCCAUAGGAAACCUUCCUAGGCUAGGUGCACGCAAGUGAGUAUGGAUCGAUCAGUAGAAAGAUGGGAAGCCCAAGGAAACCUUCCUAGGCUAGGUGCACGCAAGUGAGUAUGGAUCGAUCAGUAGAAAGAUGGGAAGCCAUAGGAAACCUUCCUAGGCUAGGUGCACGCAAGUGAGUAUGGAUCGAUCAGUAGAAAGAUGGGAAGCCCAAGGAAACCUUCCUAGGCUAGGUGCACGCAAGUGAGUAUGGAUCGAUCAGUAGAAAGAUGGGAAGCCAUAGGAAACCUUCCUAGGCUAGGUGCACGCAAGUGAGUAUGGAUCGAUCAGUAGAAAGUGGGAAGCCCAGUACCAAAUGCCCUAGUGAAGACCGUAAACGAAUAUCAUGAACCGAGAAGGAGCACCAAAUGCCCUAGUGAAGACCGUAAACGAAUAUCAUGAACCGAUAAGGAGCACCAAAUGCCCUAGUGAAGACCGUAAACGAAUAUCAUGAACCGAUAAGGAGCACCAAAUGCCCUAGUGAAGACCGUAAACGAAUAUCAUGAACCGAGAAGUAGCAACGAAUGCCUGAAAAAGUACCAAGUCCACGGUAUAGAGUAACGAGAGUUAACCGCCGUGAUGUAUGCAAUGAGGGCAGCCAUUGCAUGGGUUCUGGACUUGGUUCGCGAAUAACUUUUUUGCUAGACAUCGGACAAAGUUGACGUGGAAGAACGAAAUGUAGCAUUUGGUGCCACC